AUGAAUGUGCGGCUGAAAAAUAUGCAGCAACUGCGUGAUGUUAUCAUGUUAUUAUGGACCAAAAGAUAUCUCUCUAAGAAAUAUUUCCAGUACCUUGUGCCAUCUAUUCCAUGAUAGAUUAAGGCAGUUCUGAAGGCAAAAGGGGGUCCAACUCCACACUACUAAGGUGUACCUAAUAAAGUGGCCGGUAAGUGUAUAUAUAUAAAUAUAUAAUGUAUUAGGUGUAAAAUAUUGUAUUUAUUACUACUUAUUCAUAUGAAAAAGAUUGAAAACCCUUUUUUCAGUUCAAGGUUAUUUCUAAAGACUUCUCUACUGUAAAUAAUUACACUGACAUUUGUGCGUUGUGGGCGGUGUGUACAGCUCUACCGUCUACCAGUUUGUGUAUAGUAUAAUUUUGGUCAACAAGUGGCUAACCCUAUAGAGUUUCUAGAGGUGUUAAAAGUUCAUUGUGUAUGAACUGUGCACUCUCUAGCCCAUGACCUCUAUUUCCUCUGCCCAAGGCUGAUCUGUGGGCCGCCUGCCCUUGUGAACAGUCCCUGGUCCCUCUAGAUCGAUAAUCAUCUGCCUACCAUGAGCUACGCUUGACCUGCAAAUGACCUUACCGUGUGUUGAAGCUGGAUCUAUUACAUGGAUGGCAUACAGCAGUUUCUGUUGGCUGAGGGUGAGUCAGACGUUGGCUAAAUAUGUGAAUGGGUGUCAUUCCAGGGCGAGUGUAGCUGAGCCGGGCUGCCGCUGACAUGACUGUGUUUGCAGAGUUCAAAUUUGUCCCCACGGCUUGGCAGCUGCUGCCGGAUCCUGCCGUGCUCUCCUGCGGUCGUCCUGUCUCAAACGUCACGUGAAGACUGGAAAUUGCAUGCACAUUUGCCGGCGCCCCGACAGUUUCCAGAAAAGGCUGUGAUUCAGGCCUCCAAUAAAACAGCUCAGCCUGGACAGAUGAAAAGUCUGUUUGGACAACAUUGUGAUUGUCCUGUUUUGGGUGUUGUGGGAAGCGGAUUGGGUUUCAGCCAACAGUGGAAACUACACAUUAAAAGCGUAACUGGAGUAAUUUGUCACCGGACAGAUUUACUCCGGACAAAGUUAUGGGAAUCCUUAAAGGUUAAUUCAAGCGCACUAACGUUUGUCUAUUUGCAGGGAGCAGAACGGGAUGCUCGUUCAAUUUAUGGUUACAGAGACCUUGGAUCGUCUUCCAAAACGAAGUUUAAUGGUAAAUAUUCAGAAGAAUUUCUUCCUGGAAGGAUCUGUUAACUAACUUGCCAAACUGUCUCUUCUUUUCCGAUAUAUUACUUCCUUGUCAUCCUAAAUCAACAAAAUAGAUUUCAGUGAACUUUGAGCUACGGACACCUGGUUUUUCUAGCUUUGGCGAAGGCUUAUGAAAAACGAGCAGCUGGAUCAGGUGACACCUGAAUGAGACGUUUAGAAGCGAAUCAGAUCUAAAUAGAGCUGAACUGUCUUUCAUGCAAGUGAUUAUCUUUCUGUUGUCAUACAUUAAAGAUUUUCAUGCGAUAAUUUA